GCCAGAAUCUCCUCUAUUGCCGCUGCUCGUCUGAAGCACUUCUUGGCAACACCGUUUAGCGCCAUGGCAUCUCCUCCAUUGCAGCUGUGCCCUGACUUAUCUCUCACUUCACCGGUCAAUUGCCGCGACCAUCGAAGAACAGCAAGGUUCUCUCGGUGCCGUCGCCGCUGCUCAAGACUCUGAGACACCUUCGCCAGAAAACGACGACGCUGUCGCCCUUAGUCGCUAUGGAGAUCCUUCCAUUCUUCUGCUACUUCAUGGUGUCCAUGACUACCUCAGUUUCUUACAAAGGUAGCUAGGAGACUGUGAAUGAAGAAACUGCCAGCUUCCCUGCUGCCUCGAUGAAUGCUACUCCGAUCUAUUGCUUGAUUGAAUGUCGCUGCUGCCGAAGGUGCCAGAUCAGCUUGAAGAUAAUUCACGCGCUACCAAGGAUUGAAGAACUGUGUUGAUGGUGGUUGGCUUGGGCCUCCUCUGCUCAGCUAACUUCCGAGAUGGUGGUUGCUCCCCUUCCCGGUAGGAACAAUCGCUGCAUCAUCUACAAUAAGAACACCCUGGUGGUACCUUGUUGAUUCUACUUCGGUCUGUCUCUGCCAGCUCCUCUAAUUCCGGGCUCCGCAUGCCUCACAAGCCUUGGGUUCACCUUGUAUAUUCCAACUCCAGUCCGGUUCCAACUCCGCUGCCAAGCACCGCUUGGCUACCAGAUGGGCGAGGGUGAUCCCUUCUCUAGGGAUCCAAGUAAAUCCACACUUCGGUAUGUCUGCCGGCUGCCGCCAAGCUAUGUAUGUCCUGAAGAAUUGGCUCCACCUCUCCAAUCCUGGCUUUUUGAUUUCAAAGUCUGUACCAAGUUUGAAGACGCAAUAAUUCUCUAUGCCGCCCAAGUGAAGAGUUUCAGUUGCUCCUUCUGCCGAAAUUUUCUGAUAUGCAGCAUCCACGUUUGCUUUCAUCCAAGCCUCCAGGUGUAAUACUUGAUUGUUACUCCUUCACUUCUGCUUCUCUCUGCCGGUCUCUGUUCUGUUCUGCUUCUCCUCUUUCCGCCUAUCUGUGCAAGGUACUAAACUCCUGAUGCUCCUGUCUCUCUUGCUUUUUAAGUUUUUCAUUUUCUUUUGUUAUCUAAUAUCCAUGUUGAUGUUAUAAAUGUUAUUGUCGCUGCAACCCCCUUAUUGUUUUGUUCAAAUUUAUUAGAAUGAUGAGUGAUGUUCGACGUAUAUAAUUGAUGUAAUUUAUUAGUAUACAAUUGAAUAAGAAUUUGAAGCUUCUUUAAUAGAUAAAUAAGAUAGUAGUUGUGGUAAAGAUUUGCUGAUUGAUAUAUUGCUUUUUGCAUACAAAGAAACAAACCUCUCUUUUUUUUAACUUGUCCUUGUAAUUUUUCUAAAGAACCUAGAGUGAGGCUAAGAGUUGGGAAUUACAAGGUUCAUUUCUCUUUUAACAUUCUAUUUUUUAUAUAUUUAUUUAUGUUUCUUAAUUUGCACCAACAAUUUGAUAUGGGUUAAAGAAUUCAAACUCCAAAUUUGUUCUUAAUAGUUACUUUCCUGUUUAUUGUGGAGGUUGGACUUCUUAUUCUUUUUAAUACUACUUUAAUUUCACUUGUGCUCCUCUUUAUUUUAGUACCAAAUUGUCUAAAAUAUAGGUCUCUAUCUUAACUUUGAUUACUGUCUUAUUUUUCUAGGUAUAUAUGUAUAUACCAUUAUUCAUAUUGAUCUUGUUUAUUCAAAUUUUGAGCCUAUCUAUAUAUUUAUUUGUCUUUUUUUGCUGUGUUUGUCUAUUUAGGUUGUUUACUUUAUCCUUUUUAUCUUGGUUAUUUAUUUUCUCAAAAAGAGUACUUACAUAAUAAGUCGUCAGUCAUGUGUUAUAAUGUUUAUAAGUAUUUUUUGAGUUAUGAAGAAAAAGCCAUUCAUGCUUAAGAUCAUGUGAGUUAGGUCUAUUUUAUUAUUAGUAUACGGAUAAGAAAAUGUCUCCUGGAAUAAGAGUGGCGGUGGUGGUACGGGUUGUCAUGAUUCUCUGCUCUUUUCAUAUGAUGCGAAUGUUAUUCAUUUUAGAGAAGACGAUGACCUCAAUACUAUGAAUAGUUAAUACGAAAAAUAGUGUAUUGUAACAGUGAAAAAUACUUGAAGAUGCAUUUUCUCCAUUUCUUUAAUAAAAGAGUCAUUCCAGAUAGUUAUGAAUACAAUUUAAGGAAUUAGAUGGAGGAGAAACAUAAAAGAGAAAUCAGAAUCUUAUUGGUUGAUAUAUAAUAUAUAGUAGCUUCACAUGAAGGAAAAAAUUUAUAAUGAUAUUCAAUCUAAUUUUGACAGUUUUGAAUAUCAUACGUAUCUUCUUUUAAACCGUCUAAAUUGGAUCGAAUAUCAUUAUGAAUUUUUCAUUUAUGUGAAGUCACCAUUUAUUGUUUAUCUGCCAAUAAGAUUCUGAAAAGACAAAGACGACGGACACUCGAGGAAGAAGCUGCGCGCCUGCGAUUGGUGAGUCUGAGAGCAAACAGAGGUUGGAGACUUGGAGAACGCCAACAGGACGAAGAGAGAAGCCCGAGUGCGACGGACGGCGGCAAUGGCUCACUCCUUGCGACAGCGGUGGUGGAGGCUAGGGAUGCGGGCAGCUCAUAUUUGUUGAUUUCUGAUAUCUCAAAUCUGAAGGAAGGGGCUGGGGAGCGGGGACACAAGGCUGCCAUCUUUCUUCCCAAUUGACAGUUCCGGUUCGACCGGCCGGUUCCUAGCCAGUUCAACAAUUGACAUCUGGUUUUCAAUAGAACGGUUUCAGGUGAUGAACCAAACCAUUGAUGCCAACGGUUUAUGAUUGGACCAGUCUAACCGGGCGGUCCGGUUUAGUUUUCAGAACCAUGGUGUUAGGAGAAGAAGAGAAGAGAAGGGAGCGAAAGACACAAUAGCGUUGGAUUUAGUUUCAUUUCGUUUUCUUGUCCUGUGUUCUAGAUCCACUUUCUCUUUUUCAUCCAGAUCUCUUUCUUUCUUUCUUUGCUCUUCUGUUAUCGCUUCUAUUGUUUCUACCCUUUUUUCUUAUAUAUUUGUAUUCUUCUCGUUUAGGUUUAUCUAUUACUGUCUUUGGAUUUCGCUAACACCAGAAUAUAAAUUUCAAAAUAAUUUUUAACAAUUAAUCUCUACAUUCAAGUCAUUUCACCAACCAAGUCCAACCAAGUAGCUUUAACCUAAUUCUCCUUCACGCACCAAUACCUCUAACAAACUUUUGACUUAACGUAUGAAUAUAUAUAACUGCUUUCUUCAUGCGGAUUUUGUUUUCUUUUUUGAAUUUUCUCAGCAUUUUUUACGUUCUCUACGUUCUCUUAUUUCUUCUAUGCGUUCUCUUCGUUCAAGAUCAAUGUUGUUUUAUCUGAGGAGGUAUUCUGUUUUCGAAAACAAUAAAUGAUUCAAGUUCAGACUGUCAAUUAAACCAGGGCGAAUUGGAUUAUUGUUUUGAAUCGAAUCAAGUGGCUAAGGUGUGAUUCGAAUCUAAUUAAUGUAAUUUGUUAGUAGUUUAUGAAUUUGUAGUUAAAUAAUUUUGGUUUUGUUUGUAAAAAUUGUUGUUCAUGGUUGAUAGUUCAAAGUUGAAUGUAAUGUAGGAGUCUUGAAUCUGAAUUAUUAUUUUGAUGAAUCUGUUUCGUUCCCAGUUUUGGUGCAUUUGGAAUUAUAAUUUGGUUUAUUUUGGAAAUGCUUUCGGUGUAUUUUCAAGUUUAGAUUGUCAAUUGAAUUAGGGCUAAUUCGAUUAUUGUUUUGAAUCAAAUCAAAUGGCUGAGGUGUAAUUCGAAUCUAGUUAAUGUAGUUCGUUAGCAGUUGAUGAUUCUAUAGUUGUAUAAUUUUGUUUUUAUUUGUAAAAAUUGUUCAUGGUUGAUGGUUUGAAUUUGACUAUAAUGUAAGAGUUCUAAAUCUGAAUUAUUAUUUUGAUGAAUCUAUUUCGUUCCCAGUUUUAGUGUAUUUGAAAUUAUAAAUUGGUUUAUUUUGAAGAUGCUUUCAGUGUAUUUUCAGUUUCUAUGUGAUGUUAAUGAGCAGUUUAUGCCAAAAGUUGGGAUGACUUUUAACACGCUUAAAGAAGUUGAAAAUUUCUACAAAGAUUAUUCUAAACUUGCUGGUUUUUUUAUAAUUCAGAACACUAAUAAAAAGAAAAAUAAAGUUAAGAACCAAUUGAUUACAUGUAGCAGAGAAGGGAAAAUGGAAACCGAAUAUAUCUCCAACUCAUAAGACAAAUCCCUCAGCCGGACUAAAUUUUUUAUUACUAUGCUACUAUGCAUAAUGUAGCCAAUAAAAUAUACUUUAUUUUCCGACUUGAGUUUCUUUCUCCUAUA